rnacentral:rRNA from 1 species
UGGGGAAUUUUUGACAAUGGGGGAAACCCUGAUCCAGCCAUCCCGCGUGUGCGAUGAAGGCCUUCGGGUUGUAAAGCACUUUUGGCAGGAAAGAAACGUCAUGGGUUAAUACCCCGUGAAACUGACGGUACCUGCAGAAUAAGCACCGGCUAACUACGUGCCAGCAGCCGCGGUAAUACGUAGGGUGCAAGCGUUAAUCGGAAUUACUGGGCGUAAAGCGUGCGCAGGCGGUUCGGAAAGAAAGAGGUGAAAUCCCAGAGCUAAACUUGGGAACUGCAUUUUUAACUACCGGGCUAGAGGGUGUCAGAGGGAGGUGGAAUUCCGGGUGUAGCAGUGAAAUGCGUAGAUAUGCGGAGGAAAACCGAUGGCGAAGGCAGCCUCCUGGGAUAACACUGACGCUCAUGCACGAAAGCGUGGGGAGCAAACAGG